CGGGUAUCUUUGGUGUUUUUAGUUUCACCGAGUGGCACUCCCGGUUCCUGCAGUUUGUGGAAGCCCUCCAACAGGACAGCUGGCUGAUUCCACCCAUUUAUAGAGACAAGGAUUGGAUCGAGGCUAUCCAUGACCUAUGGCUUCAAGGAACUUUCAUCGAUUUCAACGCCAAGGAAAUUCGCAUCUUCAGCGCCCUGGCCUUUAUAGCUAUAAUUCUCUUGUCCCCCCAACCUGACCAUUCCUCCCUUCCUUCAAACUCAAUAGGAAGUAGCCAGAGGAUUUCAAGGCCCGAGUCCAAACACAAAGAAGAAGGGAGGAAUGUUGGGAGACCUUGACAUUGGAUUUUAUUUGCCCCAUAGGGUCUCUCCCCCACUGAAGUUUCUGUUUCUACAGAAAAAUAUUACACAAUCCCUUACCCCUCCACCUCUUCUCUCAUGGGCGCCAAAGUCAAAAUUUUUCGCCAAAACUUCCCUCAAGACACAUUGUCCAAUCACUGUUUCCUACCAAACCCUGCCAGUCACCACCAUUGCUGAGUCACCCUGCAAAUCAGUAACCACCACAUGGCCUAAUCAACACUUCUAAAACCAAAUUGGCUAAGGGGAUGCUCUCUACCUCUCCUUUUCUUCACCUUCCUGCAGACCUCAAUAAAAUCUCUU
rnacentral:lncRNA from 1 species